rnacentral:tRNA from 1 species
GUGGCUGUGGCACAGCAGUAGAGCACUCGCCUAGCACGUGUGAGGCCCUGAGUUCCAUCCUCAGCACCACA